rnacentral:lncRNA from 1 species
GCAGAUCUAGGAUUCUAUGGACAAGGAGUCACAGUGUAAAAGUUCCGAAAUUUUUAUACGAAAAAAAUAAUACUAAAAAAAAUAGAAAGAUAGUACUUCCAUUCAUAAUUCAUAGCAAAAUCAAUAAUAUAAGUUACAAUUGUCCACGACGAGUUUUUAUCUUUUGAAAACAUUACAAUAUAGUUUUAUUAUCAAUACAAGCAAAAACAUCCCUCUCAAUGUAAACAAUAUC